ACUGGCUAUAGUAUUUCGUUAAUCAUCCACAAAGUUUUAAUUAGCUAAGUUAAUUUAAAAACCCAAUUCACCCCCCCUCUUGGGUUGUCUAUCUGGGCAACACCAAUAUCUAACUGAUUAAAGAUUGUUGUUAGGGGAGCAUACAAAAGUUCAAACUAAUAGAUUUCUAUUUGAUACCAAGAUAUUCUAUACAUAGGUCACAUAUAUUUUUUAAAUCUCUAAAAUUUUGUAUAUGUACAUUAUAUGGCAUUUUGCUUAUUGAAGUACUAACUUGACUUAUCGGGCAUUUUAGUAUAUAUGUUUGCAUGGAAGGCUCGGGUUCUCUUUUUUGUAUUCGCAUGGCAUGUAAUUGAGAUGUGACCAAGGUUUUAUCCUCAACAGCCUAUCUCAUGACAAGAAAAGAAUUUAUUCAAAGAACUCAUGACGAACUAGUAGCAAUCAUCUAUCUGACUAUCUCCACACAACAUGGAUUAUUUCAUGGGCAGCAUAGUUUGUGCCUAUGGCAAUGAGAACUCGCAGUAUAUUGACAAUUUUCGGAAGACAUUUGUUUGCCUCAUUUACAAAAAUUACUGGCAAUAAGCCUACUUCUGAUAACAAUUCUGUAUCAUUUUAAGAGAAAUAUUCCAAAAACAUGUGUCCCAUUAAGCUAGGCAAAGGCUCCUACUUCCUAUUAACCAUAAAGCCUCUUAGACAUACUACCUCUUUCAAGAGAUAAAAACCUCUUGGUCCUAUUUCAUAGAAUAACUUUAACAGAGAAUAAUGCCAAAAUAAGGAUUUGAAAAAGAGCAGGGUGUUGACAAUUGUGAAAAAAAUAUAAUUUAAGAAAUAAGAAGCAUAAAGCAUUGUCCGAACUAUAUAUGCAUCAAAACUAUCCAAAAUUUACCUGGUUAAGAAGAUCAUAAUCAUCCAAUAAAUAAACAUAGAUUUAAACUAAACUGGAGAAAUCCAGCAUCAUAAAUCAUUCUAGACUGUCUUGUUGUUUGUUAUUUAACAUGUCGACUUCAGAGUUCCAACUUCCAAGUAACUCAUCAUGCAAACUAGUAUUUCACAACUAAUUUUACACAUUAACAGCAUAAGUAAAUAAAUUUCAUGGCGAAACCUAGAAGGGACACAAUAAAAACAUAUCUUAAACUCCAUCCGUGGGGCCCUACAGUGUUUAUUAUAUAUUUCUUGUUCAUUUGAAAAAGCAUAUUUCAUAUAAACAUUUAAUAGGUAAAAAGGAAACUACUUUAAGGUUACAUCUGACACCAACUAAAGCAAAAAAUGAACCUAACUAGCAUUGAUAUAAGAAUAUGCCCCUUCAUACAAUAAUCUAUCCUUUCAAAUUCUAUGUCUUUUCUUGGUCAUUUUUUUUUUUUUAAUUCAAUCCGUAUGAUUAAAUCCAAUUAACAUGAGACAGCUAAGAGUGCAAACCAUAUACCAGCCAUGACAAGAAAAUAUUUGUUAUCUUGGCUCAAACAACUCCGAUCGAAAAAUUUAAUGACUACAACUUGCAAAAAGAAAACAAGGGAAAAAUUCUGAUCCUUUUCCUAGAACAUACUAAGAUUGGUAAUUCAUUAUUCCGGGGGUUCCCAAAAUAUAUUGUACCUAGCUCCCUAUCACCAGCUAAUUUUUUUUAAGAUGAAAAGCCAAUCAAGUGCUUACAAGCCUUCCUGGUCAAAUAAGAUAAUAUUCACCUUACAUGCAACUUGAUGAUAAUGUGGUGUGACAUUAUGUGGAAGUUUGGCAUGUCCUUGACACACAAUGGUUUGUGGCUGACAUGGAAAACUUUGAGCAUGAAAAAAUAUUUAUACCAUCAAGGUUGAGAGGGCAAAAACAUACUCUACAAUGUAUGAGACUUGCAAGGCCAAAAAACACAAGUAGAUGUAGGGUCUUAUGCCCUUACCAAAAAGCUAGAAAUAUAAUUUAGUGAAACCCAUUCGUUUUAGGUCGAGUCUUGCAACACAAGAAUAAAAAUGAGAAGCACACAUUAGCAAAAAAGCAAGAUUGAGGCACAAUUUGUUUGCUAUUCUCUUCUACAGGUAUGAGAAGAGAAGAACAUGUAGGUAAAUAAAAACUUCUAGACAAGAAUUUGGGAGCCAAACAGCAGGAAAAACUGGCUGCUAACAGAUAAUCUGCAGCUUGAAAAGAACAUGUAGGUAAAUAAAAAAA